AUUGAACGCUGGCGGCAGGCCUAACACAUGCAAGUCGAACGAGUGGCGGACGGGUGAGUAAUUUCUGGGAAACUGCCCGAUGGAGGGGGAUACCUACUGGAAAUGGUAGCUAAUACCGCAUACCAUCGGAUGUGCCCAGAUGGGAUUAGCUAGUAGGUGGGGUAAAGGCUCACCUAGGCGACGAUCCCUAGUUUGUCUGAGAGGAUGACCAGCCAAACGGGAACUGAGACACGGUCCAGACUCCUACGGGAGGCAGCAGUGGGGAAGAGUGCACAAUGGGCGAAAGCCGGAUGCAGCCAUGCCGCGUGUAUGAAGAAGGCCUUCGGGUUGUAAAGUACUUUCAGCGGGGAGGCGUUACCCGCAGAAGAAGCACCGGCUAACUCCGUGCCAGCAGCCGCGGUAAUAC
rnacentral:rRNA from 1 species